rnacentral:lncRNA from 1 species
UUAUUGUUUCCCGCAGGAGUAUAUGCACAGGUCAAUACCGCUGCCAAGCGGGCAUGGCAGAAGCUGCCUUCUACAGGACGCUGAAGGUGCCAGGCGGCUGCCUGAAAGAUUGGUCCAUUUUGCAGGAAAUUUUCCUGCCCCUUAGGAUGAUCCCGACAACUGUCCUGAUGAUAAAUCUAAUGAUGAUGCUUAAUGAGAAUGUUUAUUGGACUUAUGCACCUGAUCCACCUGUUGUACAUCCAACGAGCUGAAAAAAUGGACAAGUAAUGGUAUGGAUGAACAAUACCAGGCUGUUGGAUGAGCCGGCAGCACCUGACAAGAACGAGGUCCAAUUGUUCAACUAUACAGAAUCAGAAACCGGAACCCCCCAUAUGUUUCUUCAAAAUCAACAGAACUGAUUGUAUAAGACUGAGUGCUCGCACCCUGACAGGAAGGCAGGUGGAUCAAUGCAAAGGUGGGAUCACUGGAGUCCAUCUACAUCUACCUGUGGGUAUAGAGACCACUGGUGUAGUGCCUCAGACUUUUAAUGCUGCAAUAAGACUAUUCCAUGGAAGGGAUGUGUGGCAGAUGCCUCUGUGAGAUAUAAUAUUACUGGACUUGAUACUUAUGUUUUGGACUGGUCUGAAAAUUCUUGUCACCCCAAAAGAAAUGUCAUUGCAAGCGUCAUGCGCUCUUAUGUAUUCCUUGUAAGAAAUAUUAGUGUUCAGAAAGGUUAUGAUUAUUAUAGUGUAAUUUGCUUUAAUUGUCAAAUAAGCAGUUGUGUCACCCGAACAGAAAAUCAGAUAAUGGUUUUGCGAACGUGUUCUUAGAUUUGGAUAUUAUAGAUCCCCCAAAAUGCAGAACCCCUGGAAUUUGAUGCAGCCCAGGCUGCACAGGAUUUUAUCGAACAAAUUAGAAAGGUUCUGCCAUCUACAUCUGCAUUUACGUGGUAACUCAUUUCCAUAGUAAUUAUUGGAGGAGGGCUGCCUCUUAGAUGCAUGAUCCUUCCGGCACUACUGCAGAUGUUUGUGCAUUCUUUAAUGAGGAUGGCUGGAAGUAUUCAUGGUCUAUAAUUACAUGCUACACCGCCUAAACCCAUGGUGUAAUUCCCUGCAGAGGCUGGUAGUCAAUGAUGGGUAAGUGGAGUAUAGGAAAUCACCAACCUAAGACAAAGCAAGAGUACUGUGAUGCUCUUGACUCCAUGACAGGUAAGGGAUUUCUUUAUAUUCCUCGCCUAAGACAGGCACAGUCUAUCUGCGUGAUCAAGGGACCUUGAUCAUAAUAUAUAAAACGGGGAGAUGUGGAGAGCAGUGUGAGGAGAGCGGUGUUAGCCAAAGAGGCUCCAUUUUGAAUCUUACCCUCCAUUGUAUAGAGCAAGGAGACUAUGUUAUGAGGAACCACGUCCUUGCCGAAUUAGAUUGUCCUGGAACGUGAUGAAUGUUCUGUAACCCCGAGAAACAAGGAAGCCCAUGAGGGUGGGGAAUUCCCAAAGAACUAGAAAACAAGGAAGCAGGUGUCUCUGGAUGAGGGUCAUGAUUAACAAGCAAACUCACCUGUUGUAGAAAAGAGAGGAGAAAAAUAAACUUGGGCGCUUGGUCUCUGGGAGCC